GAGGUUGUAGGGAAAUGGUACACCCGCUAUGGAGGGGCCCCGAAGUAGAAUUGCAGGUUCGAAUCCUGCCAACCUCA
rnacentral:tRNA from 1 species